UCCCCGAUAGCUCAAUCGGUAGAGCGAGCGGCUGUUAACCGCUAGGUUCGAGGUUCGAGCCCUCGUCGGGGAGCCA
rnacentral:tRNA from 1 species